rnacentral:rRNA from 1 species
ACGGCUCAGUAACACGUGGAUAACCUGCCCAAGGGUCUGGGAUAACCCCGGGAAACUGGGGAUAAUACCGGAUAGAUCACCUAUGCUGGAAGGGCUUGGUGGUUUAAAGGCAACGCCUUUGGAUGGGUCUGCGGCGGAUUAGGUUGACGCCGGUGUAAUGUACCGGCGUGCCUGUAAUCCGUACGGGUUGUGGGAGCAAGAGCCCGGAGAUGGAUUCUGAGACACGAAUCCAGGCCCUACGGGGCGCAGCAGGCGCAAAAACUCUACAAUGCAGGAGACUGCGAUAGGGGGACAUCGAGUGGCAUCCACCUUGGGUGCCUGUCCAACCGUCUAAAAAACGGUUGUUAGCAAGGGCCGGGUAAGACCGGUGCCAGCCGCCGCGGUAAUACCGGCGGCUCGAGUGGUGGCCGAUAUUAUUGAGUCUAAAGGGUCCGUAGCCGGCUUUGCAAGUCCCCUGGGAAAUCCAGCGGCUUAACCGUUGGGCUUUCAUGGGAUACUACAUUGCUUGGGACUGGGAGAGGUAGGAGGUACUCGGGGGGUAGGGGUGAAAUCCUGUAAUCCUCCGGGGACCACCGGUGGCGAAGGCGUCCUACCAGAACAGGUCCGACGGUGAGGGACGAAAGCUAGGGGCACGAACCGGAUUAGAUACCCGGGUAGUCCUAGCCGUAAACGAUGCCCGCUAGGUGUCACGACAGUCGUGAAUUGUCGUGGUGCCGUAGGGAAGCCGCGAAGCGAGCCACCUGGGAAGUACGGCCGCAGGGCUGAAACUUAAAGGAAUUGGCGGGGGAGCAC